rnacentral:misc_RNA from 1 species
UGAAAGAGGGUGAUGAAUGGAAAACUGCAUUUAAAAUAAAGCAUAAUUAUAUCAGUGGUCAAUGAUGCUAUUUGGGCCAACUAAUGCACCAAGUACUUUCAUUAGAUUAAUGAAUCAUGUUUUGCAUGCUUUCAUUGGAAAAUUUGUGGUUAUAUAUUUUGAUGAUAUUCUGGUUCAUGGUAGGAACAUGAUUGAGCAUAUGCAUCAUUUGAGAUG